UACGUAGGCAGCAAGCGUUGUUCGGAAUUACUGGGCGUAAAGAGUGUGUAGGCGGUGCUCUAAGUUUGGUGUGAAAUCUCCCCGGCUCAACUGGGAGGGUGCGCCGAAAACUGGAAUGCUUGAACAUGGGGAGAGGAAAGCGGAAUUCCUGGUGUAGCGGUGAAAUGCGUAGAUAUCAGGAGGAACACCUGCGGUGUAGACGGCUUUCUGGACCUUGUUGACGGCUGAGACACGAAAGCGUGGGUAGCAAACAGG
rnacentral:rRNA from 1 species